GACGGUGUGGCAUGUGCUUGUGGCUGGGCACCUUCUGUGGCAGACAUCACCACCUUCACCACCACCACUUCCACUCCUCCACUCAGAAAGCCUCCACCACCGCCGCUCCACAUCCACCCUUCCUCUGCCUUCGUUGCGGCCUCCACACCUGGCCCGGGCGGUGCUUCAGCUGCCGCUCACUGCCAAUUAGGGCGACACAGGUGACUCCGCCUCACCUGCCCAUUACUGCACCAGCCCUCAGUUACGGCAAUGCACGAGACGCAGCCUUGCCCAUUGUUUGCUCAAGAGGAAGCCAAGACGGCCCUGCAUCUCGUGAAAUACACCGAUAACUACUGAAAUUAGAACAAAACUACCGUAUCUCUCUUCCUAUACCCAUUAAAGGUGCAUCAAUACUCGGUGUCUCUGUGUAAGUCAAGACGCUGACUGGAGAUGGAACAUUGCCGUGUCUCUUAUGUUGAACUUGAACUUGAAACAUUUAUGCCAUGAAUCGAACACUGCAUUAGAGAGUCACAUGAUACUAUCUAACACCCACGUGCUCCCGCAAAACAAAGAAUUAUAAGUAUCAUGACACGUUCCAUAUUCAUUCUGCUUACUAUUUGGUGAUUUUCUAUAUACAGCUCCUGAAACUCACGUGGGAAAUUAAAAUAGUGAAGACUGUG